rnacentral:rRNA from 1 species
GACGAACGCUGGCGGCGUGCUUAACACAUGCAAGUCGAACGGAGAGGCCCUGCUUGCAGGGUACUCGAGUGGCGAACGGGUGAGUAACACGUGGGUGAUCUGCCCUGCACUUCGGGAUAAGCCUGGGAAACUGGGUCUAAUACCGGAUAGGAGCCAUUUUUAGUGUGAUGGUUGGAAAGUUUUUUCGGUGUAGGAUGAGCUCGCGGCCUAUCAGCUUGUUGGUGGGGUAAUGGCCUACCAAGGCGGCGACGGGUAGCCGGCCUGAGAGGGUGGACGGCCACAUUGGGACUGAGAUACGGCCCAGACUCCUACGGGAGGCAGCAGUGGGGAAUAUUGCACAAUGGGCGCAAGCCUGAUGCAGCGACGCCGCGUGGGGGAUGACGGCCUUCGGGUUGUAAACUCCUUUCGCUAGGGACGAAGCUUUUGUGACGGUACCUAGAUAAGAAGCACCGGCUAACUACGUG